rnacentral:rRNA from 1 species
AGUGAAGCGGCAAGAGCUCAGAUUUGAAAUCGUGUUUCGGCACGAGUUGUAGAGUGUAGGCGGGAGUCUCUGUGGAGCGCGGUGUCCAAGUCCCUUGGAACAGGGUGCCUGAGAGGGUGAGAGCCCCGUAGGGUGCUGCGCGAAGCUUUUGAGGCCCUGCUGACGAGUCGAGUUGUUUGGGAAUGCAGCUCCAAGCGGGUGGUAAAUUCCAUCUAAGGCUAAAUAUUGGCGAGAGACCGAUAGCGAACAAGUACUGUGAAGGAAAGAUGAAAAGCACUUUGAAAAGAGAGUGAAACAGCACGUGAAAUUGUUGAAAGGGAAGGGUAUUGGGCUCGACAUGGGGGGUGCGCACCGCUGUCUCUUGUAGGCGGCGCUCUGGGCGCCCUCUGGGCCAGCAUCGGUUCCUGCUGCGGGAGAAGGGGCUCCGGAAAGUGGCUCUUCGGAGUGUUAUAGCCGGGGCCAGAUGCCGCGUGUGGGGACCGAGGACUGCGGCUUCUGUCUCGGAUGCUGGCAUAACGGCGCAAUACCGCCCGUCUUGAAACACGGACCA